AUGGACCACUCGGAUACUCCGGUUCCGGGCGUGCCGUCCGCACCACCUGACGCCUACUUGCAACAGGGUGUCAGCC
rnacentral:sRNA from 1 species